AUAAGAUUGUAGUAUCGCAUGAUAUAGCAAUUAAAAGGAAGCAAUUCGCUAUAAGAUGGACCCGCGUCGCAUUAGCUAGUUGGUGAGGUAAUGGCUCACCAAGGCGACGAUGCGUAGCCGACCUGAGAGGGUGAUCGGCCACAUUGGGACUGAGACACGGCCCAGACUCCUACGGGAGGCAGCAUG
rnacentral:rRNA from 1 species